AGAUAAUUUAUUAAACACUCAAAAUAUGUAUGUUGCUUAUAGGCUAAAAAAUGUGGCUACAAGAAAAAAAAUAUCAGGUUACCUUACAAGAGUAUAAAUAAUAAAAUUAAAGAAAAUUAUUAUAAAUAUUUGAAGUUUAAAUUGGUGAUGGGAGAAUUUAGAAGAAUAGAGAAAACCAAGUGAGUUAGUCAAAUGGAAAUCAAAAAGUAUGUAAAAAAUGUUGGGUGAAAGAUAAAAAUUAAUAAUAUGGAUUUCUUCAAAUACAUUAAUGAUAAAUAGAAUGUUAGGAUGGAAGCAAGACCUUCAAAGAAGGCUAAUAUUUGAUUAUGGGAUGGCUGGGUUAUUAAAUUCUACUUUUUCACUAAUGAAGAUUUGAGCAAUAUUCCUCAUCCUCAACAGUAGGUUUAUUGGAACAAGACUGAAGAAGAUGAUCACAUUAAUUCUGAGUUUGUUAAGAAACAACCGGGAAGUUCAAAGAAUUAUAAUCUCCUGGACCAGAUAAUAUUUAACCCAAGGUUUUGAAAGAAGUUAAGGAUUUGACUAAUGUUACUCCUCUUCUCAAGGGAGGUGAUAAAAUUGUUUCAGUAAUUAUUAGUCAAUUAGUUUUACAUCAGUGGUGGGAAAAGUUUAUUUUAAAGUCUGAUAAAAGAUGCUUUUAACAAAGCUUAAGAUUGUAUUGGCUAGUCAGCAUGGUUUCACUAGGAGAAAAUCUUACCUCACUAAUCUCUUCUCAUUCAGGUAAGGAAAAUGUUAAUUUACUUAUCACACACUAAUAUUCCAGUUUGAAAUACAGAAUACUCUCAAUGAAGUCUCUAUUAAACAUUCUAAUAAUAAACUUGGCGUAGCGGUGGGUAAGUCACUCAACCCAUCAAAGCAAUGUUUUCAAGUUUGAUGAUGAUGAACCCACUUUGAGACAAUAAAUUUUGAAGAAGGUAUGUUGACUUUAUGUUUGAUGGUGAAGUUAAUAUCGGAAUGAAUGAAGUUUAUGCGUUCAAAGAAAGUUUGUAGGUGUUCUGUAAAUGUGAAAUAAGCAGGUGUCACUGGCACACACACACACCUAUAUAUAUAGGCUUGUGUUAAAACUCGACUCAUAAAUAUAUUGGCUAGAAUACAUGAAACAGAGUUGCCUUUGCUUAAACCAUGCUGGACCAUUCUGGUGUUUUAUGAAUUUUUAAGAGUUUUACUGUGUGAAGAUGUACUUUGCUUGCUGGAUGAUUCUGGUGGAACAUGAUCCUUUCAAGUUUUUACUGUGUGAAGAUGUACAUUAAGUACUGGACCAGUCUUACUCUGACUUGUCUGAGUGUUAGUUGUUUUUCAUAUAAAGAUUUAAACUACUUUUGUAAUCUUACAGUUUUGAAAUGUAGUUUGUCUAACCUUCUUAAUUAAUAGUAAUACCAAUUUUCAUUUUCACUAAAUGCUUUAUAUUUUGUCCGUUAUUUUCUCUUCCUUUUCCACGUUACGGACCGACCUUGAAACACAAAAAACACGAAAUAAAUUUAAGUUAUCCUUUCUUUUUCUUCGUAGAAUGACUGCAGCUUGUAACAAACAAUUAGAGUUUUUUAUCCUAAAAUGUUCAUUCCUCUAUCCUUUUUAUAACUAUUCUCAUUUAAUUAUAUUUUUCUUUGAAUUCGGUACGAAUCCUGCGUAUGAAAAAAUAAAUUCCAGAUCCACCGCGCAACUCAAAUUACGUAAAUGAAUUACCCAGUAAAGAGUACCUCACGUGCAAACGUCGCUGAGAAAUUUUAUUUGUGUAUUUAAUUUUUCAUUUUUAUUUCCUUAUUUAACUUAAGUUUUUACAUUUUAGUUACUUUUAUAGCAAGAAAUAAACAUAAAAAAACAAGAAAUUUAGUACUUGUUAGGCGUCUUGUUAUUUUGCUGCCUUACCGUCGAUGACACUUUUGAGUUUGGAAGCUUCACGAACUGAACUCGGAAGUCUAGUUAAAACAGAGGAAAGAAUUAGACUGUCUUAUUAACCAAAGUGAAAAACGAAAUUGAGUUGACAGAAGAAUUUGAAAGAGAUUAAUCAACUUUAAUAGCUAUUCUCUAUGGAAAUGGUGUUUCAUUCAUUGACAGUGGGACAGCCCAAGGCACAUGAUCUCAUCCUUACAGGACGACAUGUUUCAGCAAAGGAAGCAUUUGAGAUAGAAUUCCCUGAUCAGCUUGUUGCAUGUAGCACUCUUAGGUUGAGCUGAAUCUGUUUGAUUUCUACUGAAUUACAUGGAUAACUUAAAAAACCUCAUUGUACCAG